rnacentral:ribozyme from 21 species
UUUUUUCUUCUUUUUCCUUUCUUUUUUUUUUUAUUCCACUGUCCCUCUUCUUGUGUUCCUCUCUCCAAUGGCUCCCUUCAAACCUGAAUCUGAAAAAAGAUUCGAGCUCGCACAGGCAGCGUUUAA